UCCACCGCGCGACUAACGCCUAGCAUUUUUUAGAACAUUUUUUUUAAAGUUAUCGGAUAAAUUAAUAGAGGUAUUCAUAAUUUACCAUCUGAACUUAUAAGCAUUGGCCAAUUUCCUCCCUCAAGUUUAAUUUUGAUUAAUUUCCCCUCUCAAUUCUCAUAAUUAAUUAAUUUACACCCCAUUGUCAAUUUUUUUAAUUUUCUAUCUAUACUCCCGCUAAGUAGGUCAUGUGCUAUCCACAUGACUACCCUUUAAAAGGCAAAAAAGUCAUUUCCCUACCCCUUCCAUUCUCUCCACCAACACUUUGUACUCCCCACAGAUUCUUCUCUGUUAGAGAACGCUCAUUUUCUCAGUAACCAAAGUUACCAAACAAGACCUUUAAAGGAAAGAGAACCCAUUACACCGGAAGCACAAAGAGCUCAACUUUUCAAUAAAAUUUGUGAAUAAACAGAGGAAAUCCCUCCCUUUAAACCCCCAAACCCCAAAAUAAAAUAUGGUUUUGCAGUAAAUGAAAAACUCACUUGGGGAAAAUCGCUGAGAGUAAAAAGCGCAGAGAGGUGUCAGAGGAGUAGUUGUUUUCUUACAAGGGAAGGAAAGGAAGGAAGAGAGCAGCGGCAACGUGUUGGAGUGGUUGGGAGUCAUCAAUGAGAAGCAAUGUGAAAAGGAAAAGCAGGCAGAGAGAAGAGAAGAGAGAGAAAGGGGAAUCUGGUGCAGUACAGUGUGUGGAGAAGAGGUGUACUCCCCAGAUUCUUCGGCAAGUCUUUGAUCAAAUCCAUCUCGUCUUCUCCCCACAUCGCCAAGCUCGGGUCUUACGCGCUAUGCGGCCUCCUCGCCUCCUACUCCACGCGCUUCGUGGAUCCGGGAGAGACAAAGUCCAAGUACUCGAUCAUAAUCGGGGGCGCCAACUUCAGGUGCGGGUCUUCGCGGGAGCACGCGCCGGUGGCUCUGGGAGAGGCGGGAGUGGCAGCGGUGGUGGCGGAGUCGUACGCGCGGAUCUUUUUCAGUAACUCGGUGGCGAUGGGGGAGGUGUACCGGCUGGAAUCGGAGGGUAGGGUGCGAGUAGUGCAACAAAGGGAUGUAGUGAACGCGGAUCUACGAGCUCAGAUCCCUCCCACUGUUUCUUUUGGUGUUCGCCGGGAAAAUCGUGCCGGUGGGCGGUGGAGCACGGGCUCGGCUUGGAGAAAAGGAAGAAGAAUAGAAUGUUCGGAGAAAAGAAAGAAGACAGAAGGUGUAGGGGACGAAGUUGGAGUAUUCAAGGAAAAAGUGUAGUCAAACAACGAGAACAAAUCCAUAACACUGAAUGGACUGGAAGGAGAUGUCUUCCAGUAUUACAAGAGCUUCAAGCCAGUCUAUCAAUUCACUCAAAAGAACGAAGGCAACAUUGCAAAAUUGUCGACUGAAUGUGAGAAACUGACUGAGGAUAUUGCAGUCCGGACAAAUACGUUGAUUUGAUGGUUAGCAUCGACAAGGAUCUUGAUGCUCACUUUAUCAAGGCAUGAUAAAUUAAGGAAGGGAAAAGAAUGCAAUGGUGAAACGGUGUGACGUCCAUCGUUAGUUUAUAAUCUUUGUGUUAAUAAUGCGUGCCUUUUGAUUGAUUACAAGUAAUUAAAAUGUUUUGCUUUGUAAGUUGCCUUGUAAAAAAUGUACGUGAAGGGAUAUCAUAUGUGAGAUUGUAAUGUAUGAACUAUGGUAUGCAAAAUAAAAGGUGUAGUGUACCAUCUCCACUUUGUUGCUCA